rnacentral:rRNA from 1 species
GAUCAGCCAUGCCGCGUGUGUGAGAAGGCCUUUUGGUUGUAAAGCACUUUAAGCAGUGAAGAAGACCAUAUGGUUAAUACCCAUAUGCGAUGACAUUAGCUGCAGAAUAAGCACCGGCUAACUCUGUGCCAGCAGCCGCGGUAAUACAGAGGGUGCAAGCGUUAAUCGGAAUUACUGGGCGUAAAGCGAGCGUAGGUGGCUUGAUAAGUCAGAUGUGAAAUCCCCGGGCUUAACCUGGGAACUGCAUCUGAUACUGUUAAGCUAGAGUAGGUGAGAGGGAAGUAGAAUUCCAGGUGUAGCGGUGAAAUGCGUAGAGAUCUGGAGGAAUACCGAUGGCGAAGGCAGCUUCCUGGCAUCAUACUGACACUGAGGCUCGAAAGCGUGGGUAGCAAACA